rnacentral:sRNA from 1 species
CUUCCGUAGGUGAACCUGCGGAAGGAUCAUUACAGUAUUCUUUUCAGACUGGAUUGCGAAGUCUUGUGAUUGCCUGCGCUGCUGAAAUAUUGCGUGCGCGGCAUUGCUUGAUGGAACUUUCCGCUCAAGUCUGGAAAACCUCCUACACACUUUGUUUUCUUAUUAGAGACAAUUUGGUUUGGCUGUAGAGCUGUGUAAAAGCAGCGCUCAGCCAAAGUUAUACAAAACUCAGUUUUCUUUUUCGAAAGAUAACGUGUAAUAUAUUCUAGUCAUUUUUCAGUUGCGCAAGCAGCUUAUAAACUAUUAAAACUUUCAACAACGGAUCUCUUGGUUCUCGCAUCGAUGAAGAACGCAGCGAAAUGCGAUAAGUAAUGUGAAUUGCAGAUUUUCGUGAAUCAUUGAAUCUUUGAACGCACAUUGCGCCCUCUGGUAUUCCGGAGGGCAUGCCUGUUUGAGCGUCAUUUCCUUCUCAUACCCUCUGGGUUUGGUGAUGAGCGAUACUUUGCAAAAAGUUCGUUUGAAAUGAAUCGGCAUGAGUUUUUGUUGUAAACAACAGUCUGUUUAUUCAAUGUAUUAGGUUUUACCAUCGUUGAUUGGCGACUGCUGGAGACGGCGAAGUUUGGCUCUGCCUAACAAGCUUUAUCAUAAAGUUUGACCUCAAAUCAGGUAGGAUUACCCGCUGAACUUAAGCAUAUCAUA